rnacentral:rRNA from 1 species
GACGAACGCUGGCGGCGUGCUUAACACAUGCAAGUCGAGCGGUAAGGCCCUUUCGGGGGUACACGAGCGGCGAACGGGUGAGUAGCACGUGGGUGACCUGCCCUCAGCUCUGGGAUAAGCCCGGGAAACUGGGUCUAAUACCGGAUAUGACUCCAUGACGCAUGUUGUGGGGUGGAAAGCCUUGUGCGGCUGAGGAUGGGCCCGCGGCCUAUCAGCUUGUUGGGUGGGGUGAUGGCCU